rnacentral:rRNA from 1 species
GGAAGGAGAGAUGGCUUAAAGGGGUACGCGGGCUUCUUCUGCGUAUUCGCUCCAGGAUGGGACUGCGUCCGAUCAGGCUGUUGGCGGGGUAAUGGCCCACCAAACCUGUAACCGGUACGGGCCUUGAGAGAGGUGGCCCGGAGAUGGACACUGAGAGAAGGGUCCAGGUCCUACGGGGCGCAGCAGGCGCGAAACCUUCGCAAUGCGCGAAAGCGUGACGAGGUUAAUCCGAGUGGCCCCCGCUGAGGGGGUCUUUUGUCAGCUGUAAAUAGGCGGGCGAAUAAGGGGAGGGUAAGCCUGGUGUCAGCCGCCGCGGUAAUACCAGCUCCUCGAGUGGUCGGGGCGAUUAUUGGGCCUAAAGCAUCCGUAGCCGGUUCCGUAGGUCCUCUGUUAAAUCCACCCGCUUAACGGGUGACCUGCAGAGGAUACCGCGGGACUAGGAGGCGGGAGAGGCGGACGGUACUCCGCGUGUAGGGGUAAAAUCCUUUGAUCCGCGGAAGA